rnacentral:lncRNA from 1 species
UCUCCCCUCCCCCAGCCAGCCAGAUGGGCUGGCAAGCUGGAGGGAAGGGAGAAGGGGAAAAAAGGGCAGAUUGUGCAAAGGAAAACAAAAGAGACAGAGAGACAUCAAGAGACAGGAAGCAUGGAGAGACUGCGAGAGAGCUGGUGGAUGAGGGAUAAGGGGGGAGGAUAAGAGAAGGGGGGACUUGGUGACGUGACUGCAGCAACAGAGAUGGCCUGGGAGGGGCUGAGCCCCAGACACAGGAACACAGAGGGACAGAGGGAGUGACCGACAGGGACGCAGAAACAUGAGAAGUGACCAAGAGAGACCCUGAAGGGAAGAGGCAGGGGAGAACAAACAGUGAGAGAGAUUGCUCAAGACCCCCUUGGGAGCCAGUGCAGGUGUGUCUAAGCCCUUGACACAGGGCUCCAACCUUAGGCAGUCCUGGGUCUGAAUCCCAGCUGUGCGGCCUGCCAGCUGCGACCUUGGGCAAGUUAUUCCAGUUCUCUGCACUUCAGUCUCCUUAUCUGCAAAACUGGGAAACUACCCAUCUCCAAAUUACUAGGGGGAUUAAAGGACCAAUGUUUGGCAUCCAGUUGGCAUUCGGGAAGUAUUCACUCCCUUCGGCUCUCAUUAAUCUCUCCACAAUUCUCCACUUCACCUCCU